rnacentral:lncRNA from 1 species
CCGCUCGCGGCCCUCCCGCCUGGCUCUCGCCUCGGCCUGCGGCCGGGAUCCUCCGCCCGGGUCGCGCAGCGGAGGCCGAGGGCUGGGACGGGCGGCUGGGAAGUGGGAAAGGGAGCUCCUUUUGUCUUCUCUUCCCAUCCCCCAGGUUUGGGAAAGUUUUCCUUUUGGGAAAGCCCCUCUCUUCAGCCUGCUGGCGGGUGUCGGAUUGGUUAGCGACCACCGGCCCCCGCCUCCCCCAACAGGAUUCUCCUUUGGGCCACAGGUCUUCCGGAAGUUGCCAAACCCCGGUAGCGGCAGCGUCCGGCUGGGGGCUUUAUUAGGGGGCACCGGGGUCUGCUUUCCGACUCCCUUCCGACUCCGCGCCUGCGCAGGAAGCGAUUUGGGGAGUGUUGUGAAUUCCGAGGGCUCCACACUUAAGAGGUUGUACACUCACCUGUCUACCUGGACUCCAAUUUCCAUAUUUCCAGCCACUUGAGGACUGAGAGGUGGAUGAUAAACCCUGUCAUAGUGGAGCAAGUUCAGGUGUUUAACCGCUGUUAUGGGGGAUCUGCCUUUUCUCCCUCUUCUUUCUUACUUCCAUAAGUAUGUAUGUGCAGAGAUUGAAAAAUAACCUUGAGAGAGUCCAUCCAUCUAACUCCAGAUCUUGACAUCUAUGGUUCUUCAUUGUUCAGGACACAGCUGAAGUAUUACCUUUCCCAAGAGAUCUUACAUGACAAUA